rnacentral:lncRNA from 1 species
GUGAUAGUUUGCUAAUCAUUAAUUGAAGAUUUUUGAGAGAUUUUUAGUCAAUAGUAUAAGACUUAAGGUUAGAGUUCUUUCAGAACUUUAGGAAAUUCAGGGAAGGGAGCAAGAUUCUGAAGCAAAACGGCAGGAGAACAGGCUAGAAACUUGAUGAAAUGGCACCCCUCUCCUCUCACCUCAUUUGGAGAAUACUGGUAUGAUGGAAUGGUGCUUCUCCUCACAAAUGAAGCCGGAGGCUAGGCAGGAGUUGCAUGGAGUAUGAUGUAAUUUUGCAGUUUUCCAGUUCUUCUUCCCUAUGGUGAAGGGAAAAGGGAAAGGAAGAAGGUUCUGCAUGGAUUUCCUUUAUGCAACAAUGACCAGCUGAAGAAACUGACAUUCCAAAAGGCAACUGACCACAGUAAUUGUCUGAAGCAACUGAACCCAGAUUUUCCUGACUGCAGGUCCAGUGCUGUCGCCAUUCACUGUAACGAGAAGCUGUAGGACCACUUGGUACACCAACUAUAGAGGGAAUUCUUAUUAAUUUAAAUAAAGCUGCCAUUUGUAAUGGGGUUCA